CCUGUUCUUCAUUCAGGGAGAUAUUUAAUGGCGCUUUAAACAUACCCUCUCUCUGUUCAGUCUUGACUCACUUCUGUUCUCUUCUUCACUGUCCAUGAUGCCAUUAGUACAGUGCUUUUAUUAAGUUGCACUGUGAUUUCUUUCAACUGUCUAUAUUUUUGUUCAGUCCUCAGUCCCUUUUUGAAAAGAGGAGGUUUAAAAUACCUUGGUGUCUACCUGGGAAAUGAAAAUUUCUUAAAGAAGAAUUGGGAAGGACUAAUUGAGAAAGUAAAAGUGAGGACAAUUUCGAGUUGCACACAGUGCAGUUGGAGCUGGAGGCCGUGGAGAAGCAGAUCCGCGACCUACUAGAAAAUCAGGCCCAGCUGCAUGAGCACUUGAGAUCUCAUGCUGAUUCUUACAACUCUAAAGUAAGUUUGCGAUGUAAUACAUUUAAUCCCGCCAACUCUACUCUGUGCGUUUCUCUGCACAGGGACCAGCCCAGGUCUCCUUCACUCUGUCACCAACAUACCAUGGACCCUAGGUACACCAGCAGCAGAAGGCACUGGCCAGACUGUGGGCAAGGACCUUUCCCCCUCCACCGCCCCAGUCUUUGAGUCUUCCACCUGGAACCGCUUUGCCCCCUCCGCAAGACCAAACCCAACGCUGUGAUCAUCAGCGACUCUGUCAUUUAGAACAUCCGACGUCACCUCAACUAAAGGUAAGGUACGCACCCACUGUUUUUCUGGUGCUUGUGUUCUUGAUGUUUCUGCACAGGUAAAUCCUGCCUUUGGCUGCCUGAUCGAGACAGCAGAUCACCCACGACAAAGAUCAUCGUGUCCAGACCUCUCCCCAUAUACAGACUUGGGCUUGAAAGGUUGUUCCGUGCUGAUAUCCUGCACACCAGCAGACUUGGUAUGGAUCUCCUCUCAGACAACAUCUCCAAGAUGUUACAUACCAUAUGACUAUUUACAUCCCGUGAACAAUGAAUGUGCCAGCUCCAGCCUCUACGAAGAUUCCAGAUGGCGCCAAUGCCUGUGAAGACUUUGGAUGAUACCAAUGCUCUACACAUGUUGCUCCUGGCAUAGCAGUGGACCUGAACCUUUCUGUUCUUAAGGUCAGACUGGACUGUCCUAGUGCACUGCUUCUGGAGUUCUCGUUGCUUGGAGGCCAGUCACUGUUGAUGAGGAGGGCUCCAUAUGGACAGCCUAGGGACCCUUGGAAGCCAUGGAGAUGACAUUGGACUGCAGCUGAUGUGGGCAAUUUUGGUGCGGUGUCUUUUUGCACCUGGGUCUCCAUCAGUGGACAGUGCAUGAUUUCAACAGAACAGACUUCAUGUUGAGACUGUGGUGAAUCUCCUGAUUACACAGCUGCACUUUUGUUUUAUCAUGUAGAACACAGUUAUAGAAGGGAUUUGUUUAUAAUUAUACUAUCAGUUUGUACCCAAAUGAGGAAGGUUUCUUCCGUAUAUCAUCUCAGGGAAUUAUUUCUUGCCACCAUCACCAUCGCCUCUGGCUUGCUCAUUAGGGGCAAAUUUAUCAAUGUAAAAUUUAGAUUGGAAAUUUAUAUAUUUCUGUAAAGCUGCUUUGUGUCAAUGUCAAUUGUAGCAAGCACAAUACAAAUAAAACUGAAUUGAAUUGAAUCUUUUUCCAGAUAUUGAGAUCACACCUGUUUUAGAUAAGCC
ensembl:lncRNA